rnacentral:rRNA from 1 species
UACGUAGGGUGCAAGCGUUAAUCGGAAUUACUGGGCGUAAAGCGUGCGCAGGCGGUGCUGUAAGACAGGCGUGAAAUCCCCGGGCUUAACCUGGGAAUGGCGCUUGUGACUGCAGUGCUAGAGUACGGCAGAGGGGGAUGGAAUUCCGCGUGUAGCAGUGAAAUGCGUAGAUAUGCGGAGGAACACCAAUGGCGAAGGCAAUCCCCUGGGCCUGUACUGACGCUCAUGCACGAAAGCGUGGGGAGCAAACAGG